CCUACGGGAGGCUGCAGUAGGGAAUCUUCCUCAAUGGGGGAAACCCUGACGCAGCAACGCCGCGUGGGGGAUGAAGGUCUUAGGAUUGUAAACUCCUGUUGUUAGAGAAGAUUAUGACGGUAUCUAACGAAUAAGCACCGGCUAACUCCGUGCCAGCAGCCGAGGGAAUACUGAGGGUGCAAGCGUUACUCGGAAUCACUGGGCGUAAAGAGUGCGUAGGCGGGGUAAUAAGUCUGAUGUGAAAUCCUGUAGCUUAACUAUAGAACGUCAUUUGAAACUGUUACUCUGGAGUGUGGGAGAGGUAGGUGGAAUUCUUUGUGUAGGGGUAAAAUCCGGAGAGAUAAAGAGGAAUACUCGUGGCGAAGGCGACCUGCUGGAACAUAACUGACGCUGAUGUACGAAAGCGUGGGGAGCAAACAGGAUUAGAUACCCGGGUAGUC
rnacentral:rRNA from 1 species